UCGCUCAAAAGACCUUUAGCACCUUAAAAAUGGCAGGACGCGAAUCGGGCCGCAUCCGGGAGGCGGAGAAAAAACGCACCCUUGACGAUGCAGCACGGCAAAGGCGCGCACGAAAAGCGCUCGAAGCACUGGAGCAGGACAACUUUCACGAAGAUCCACACGCGGACCUGGUUAUGUCGAAAAAAGUGCCCAAAUUUAGUGACAAUCUGGAUGGUACCGGGCCCAGCAGGAAGAAGAAUCGCCGCACGAAAGGAGCCGAGUAUUACCGGGCAAAGUAUCGAAAAACGUUCCCUCAGUUGUUGGACGAAGAGAAACAGCAACGGCCAGAUCCGCCGAAUUAUUUUAGCGCAGCUGCACCACCUUCCCGAUUGCCGGAGCGGCACUUUUGUGCUGUUUGUGGAUUCCCGUCCAGCUACACGUGUACCGCGUGUGGUACAAGGUAUUGCUGUGUACGCUGUUUGGGUACGCAUCAGGACACCCGUUGCUUGAAGUGGACCGCUUAGAGUGCGAGAGCUGAAGAUAUUUUUCAGACAGCUGUUGCAGCUCGAUUGGGCUCCGACUGUCCCUCGUUCAAUAGUGGUAGCGUGCGACACCUACUCAAGACUUACACGCACUUGAGUUGAUAUAAGUAUAAUAUACUUUUUUCCGAUAUAUUCAAACAAAUAAAAAACCCUAAUCAAACGAG